AUCGAACGCUGGCGGCAGGCUUAACACAUGCAAGUCGAGCGAGCGGCGGACGGGUGUGUAACGUCUGGGAAACUGCUUGAUGGAGGGGGAUAACUACUGGAAAUGGUAGCUAAUACCGCAUACCAUCAGAUGUGCCCAGCUGGGAUUAGCUAGUAGGUGGGGUAAUGGCUCACCUAGGGGGGGAUCCCGAGCUGGUCUGAGAGGAUGCCCGGCCGCAUUGGACGUGGGACACGGUCCAGACUCCUGCGGGAGGCAGCAGUGGGGAAUAUUGGACAAUGGGCGCGAGCCUGACGCAACCAUGCCGCGUGUGUGAAGAAGGCCUUCGGGUUGUAAAGCACUUUCAGCGGGGAGACGUUACUCGCAGAAGAAGCACCGGCUAACUCCGUGCCAGCAGCCGCGGUAAUAC
rnacentral:rRNA from 1 species